rnacentral:rRNA from 1 species
GACGAACCGCGCGACCGUUGUUCGGAAUCACUGGGCUUAAAGGGCGCGUAGGCGGCCGCCCAAGUCCGGGGUGAAAGCCCCCAGCUCAACUGGGGAAGUGCCUUGGAUACUGGUUGGCUCGAGGGAGGUAGGGGUCCGCGGAACUUCUGGUGGAGCGGUGAAAUGCGUUGAUAUCAGAAGGAACGCCGGUGGCGAAAGCGGCGGACUGGAUCUCUUCUGACGCUGAGGCGCGAAAGCUAGGGGAGCAAACGGG